rnacentral:tRNA from 1 species
AGAAAGAACACUGGAACUGCUAAUUCCACACACCCAUGAUUAGCAUCAUGGCUUUCUU